AGAGUUUGAUCCUGGCUCAGGAUGAACGCUGGCGGCGUGCCUAACACAUGCAAGUCGAGCGAUUCUCUUCGGAGAAGAGCGGCGGACGGGUGAGUAACGCGUGGGUAACCUGCCCUGUACACACGGAUAACAUACCGAAAGGUAUGCUAAUACGGGAUAACAUAAGAAAUUCGCAUGUUUUUCUUAUCAAAGCUCCGGCGGUACAGGAUGGACCCGCGUCUGAUUAGCUAGUUGGUGAGGUAACGGCUCACCAAGGCGACGAUCAGUAGCCGACCUGAGAGGGUGAUCGGCCACAUUGGAACUGAGACACGGUCCAAACUCCUACGGGAGGCAGCAGUGGGGAAUAUUGCACAAUGGGCGAAAGCCUGAUGCAGCAACGCCGCGUGAGCGAUGAAGGCCUUCGGGUCGUAAAGCUCUGUCCUCAAGGAAGAUAAUGACGGUACUUGAGGAGGAAGCCCCGGCUAACUACGUGCCAGCAGCCGCGGUAAUACGUAGGGGGCUAGCGUUAUCCGGAUUUACUGGGCGUAAAGGGUGCGUAGGCGGUCUUUUAAGUCAGGAGUGAAAGGCUACGGCUCAACCGUAGUAAGCUCUUGAAACUGGAGGACUUGAGUGCAGGAGAGGAGAGUGGAAUUCCUAGUGUAGCGGUGAAAUGCGUAGAUAUUAGGAGGAACACCAGUGGCGAAGGCGGCUUUCUGGACUGUAACUGACGCUGAGGCACGAAAGCGUGGGGAGCAAACAGGAUUAGAUACCCUGGUAGUCCACGCCGUAAACG
rnacentral:rRNA from 1 species